rnacentral:rRNA from 1 species
UACGGGGGGGGCAAGCGUUGUUCGGAAUUACUGGGCGUAAAGGGCUCGUAGGCGGCCAACUAAGUCAGACGUGAAAUCCCUCGGCUUAACCGGGGAACUGCAUCUGAUACUGGAUGGCUUGAGUUCGGGAGAGGGAUGCGGAAUUCCAGGUGUAGCGGUGAAAUGCGUAGAUAUCUGGAGGAACACCGGUGGCGAAGGCGGCAUCCUGGACCGACACUGACGCUGACGGAGCGAAAGCCA